rnacentral:rRNA from 1 species
GUGUCAGCAGCCGCGGUAAUACAGAGGGUGCAAGCGUUGUUCGGAAUUACUGGGCGUAAAGCGCGUGUAGGUGGCGGCGUAAGUCGGAUGUGAAAUCCCUCGGCUUAACCGAGGAAGUGCAUUCGAUACUGUGUCGCUUGAGUACUGGAGGGGAUGGCGGAAUUCCCGGUGUAGAGGUGAAAUUCGUAGAUAUCGGGAGGAACACCUGUGGCGAAGGCGGCCAUCUGGACAGUCACUGACACUGAGACGCGAAAGCGUGGGUAGCAAACAGGAUUAGAUACCCUGGUAGUCCACGCUGUAAACGAUGAGUGCUAGACGUCGUGGGUAUUGACCCCCGCGGUGUCGAAGUUAACACGUUAAGCACUCCGCCUGGGGAGUACGGUCGCAAGAUUAAA